AGGUGUUUGCCAGUUGUCCUCUAGACUUAUUGAAGAAUGUUGAUGCUGUCCAAGCCAAGAACUGGUGUUCUUCAGUUGACAUGUAGUUCAUUUGGGGAGCUUGCUCAGGUCACGUACUUUGUCAGCACCAAUAAAGAUGAUUCACAGCACUUGCAGCUAUUUAAACAAGCAGAGCCGUCCUCCCUCCCAAAGGUUCACACUAGGCACUGGGCUUUGUAAUCCCACGGAAUCAUGGAAGCUCAAAAAGACAACUAAGAUCAUCAGAUCCAAGCAUCAGGUAUAGGCCGAAGAGGAAGAGAAAUGCAGACAAUGUGAAACAGCUCUCUGUUCCCAAGUCCUGCAUCAUUCCUGGUUCUGCAAGAUGUGAUGAAAGUACUCAUCAUAAUAAAAAAGCCGCAUCAUCUAUCAGAUGCUGAGGGAAACAACAAAUGAAAAAAUUCACCAACUGGAAACAGCCCAUCUGCCACAUCAGCACCAACAUGUGAUCAGAAGUUAUCGAUCCUAGAGUAAAUGAGGUCAGCUCUUCAGGACUUCAAUUUCCCUAUACAAGGCAGUGGGAGCUAUGCAAGAGGUCUGAACACUGGAGGGCCCCAGCGAGAAGAGAGUUGCAGAGGUGCUCUGUUGCUUGUGGAGUGGUCAGGUAUGUUUCAGAUCAUAUUACGUAAGCUGAAUUCCACUGAAAACCUGGACGCAUUCCUGUAGCUCACAAUCAUUUUUUAAACUCAAGAUAGAUUAGUUGGGAAAAGAAGGAAAAUGAUUUACUGGCCAAAGAAAAUAAUUAACAUUCUCUGGAUUGAGAAAACUUCCUUUCAUGUUUUUGCCCUUUGCUUCUUGUCCUGUCAGUGUCUUGUCACCACAGAGAGAGUCUGGUUUAUUUUCUUUUGCUCCCCCUGACCACCACCAGAGAUGACAUGAAUUAUCCUUCUGACACUGGAUCUGAUGUUGAUGCAAGAAGCCUGGACUGGGAGAACAGAAGGUAUUAUCUCCUUUCCCAGCUCCAGAUAAUGCCCAAGCAAAAAAUGCCAGCAAGUUCAGCUGCAGAAGCACUAGCACUGCCAAUGCACUAGAAAUGGGAUUGUGAUGUUGAGCUCUGACAUGGAUAACAUGGAGUCCUUCUCCUCAUGGAAGUGAAGCUGAAGACAGAGUGUUUCUAAUGCAGCUCCAGCACAGAAACCUCCCAUUGAACACAUCUCUUGGGCUGGAGGAUAAGGAUGAGGUGGGGAUAACGUAGAGAAAGUAAAAGAAUCCCAAUACAAAACACUUCUAUUUGCCUACAAGAAGAUCCUGAGUGUGUUCACGUUUGCUAUCAGCUUCCUAAAAAAAAGAGGAAGAGCUUUAAAUCAAGCAGAUGGUUCCUCUGUGGUGGUAUUACACAUCUGCCCUGCUGUCCUUCCUGAGGAAAAUUAUGACAGACCUCUGAAAAUGACACAGUCCAGCAAUUUGGAUGCUCACAGUCUUCCAGAAGACAACACCAGUAGCAGCAGUUCAAAAUGAUGUCUCAAAUUGCCUUCAUCCAUAUGAACAGCUGAUUCUUCAGUCCUUAUCCAGUGAGGAAAGUUGUGUUUUCAGACAAAAAAAGAUGAUUCACAAGGAGAUCACAGAGUUGUGGGGGUUGGAAGGGACCUCCGAAGAUCAUCAAGCUCAACUCCCCUGCAAAGCUGGCCCCCUACAGCAGGCUGCACAGGUAGGUGUCCAGGUGGAUCUUGAAUAUCUCCAGAGAAGCAGAAUCCACAACCCGCCUGGGCAGCUUGUUCCUGUGCUCCGUCACCCUCACUCUGAAGAAGUUAUUUUGCAUAUUGAUGUGGAACUUCUUAUACUUCAGUCAUGACUGUUUUCCCUUGUCCUGUCCCCAGAGACCAUGAGAAAAGAGGUUGGCCAUGUCUCCUUGAUUCCCACACAGAUAUUUAUGUGCAUUAAUAAGAUCACCUCUCAGUCUUCUUUUCUCAUGGCUGAACGGACCCAGGUCACCCAGCCUCUCCUCACAGGGGAAUACUCCAGGCCCUUUAUCGUCUUUGAGGCCCUUUGCUGUACUCUUUCCAGGAGACCCCUGUCUUUUUUGUACUGGGGAGCCCAGUCCAGGAUACAGACUGGCCAGGGCAGAGUAGAAGGGGAGGAUCACCUCCCUUGACCUGCUGGCACGUUCCUUUUAAUGCACCCCAGGAAUCCCAUUGGCCUUCUAGGCCACUAGGGCACACUGCAUGGCCAACCUGUUGUCAACAAGACCCCCAGGUUCUUCUCCACAGAGCUCCUCUCUAGCAGUUCAUGCCUCAGCCUGUUCCCAGGUGCAAGACUCCACUCUUGCUUUUAUUAAACCUCAUUUGGUUUAUUGUUGCCCAGCUCUCCAAUCUGUGCAGGUCUCUCUGAAUGGCAGCACAGCCUUCAGCUGUGUCAGCCACUCCUCCCAACUUUGUAUCAUAGGCAUACUUGCUGAGGGUGGGCGCUAUCCCCUCAUCAAGGCUGUCGAUGAAGACAUUGAACAAGACUGGUCCCAGCACCAACCCUUGGGGAACACUACUACUCACAGGUCUCCAACCAGACUCUGCAUCACCAAUCACAACCUCUGAGCUCAGCCAGUCAGCCAAUUCUCAACACAUUUCACAGUCCACUCAUCUAUCCCACACUUUCUCAGCUUCAAGAUCAGGGGAACAUGUGAGAUGGUAUCAAAAACCUUGUUGAAGUCAAGGUAGAUGACAUCCACUGCUCUCCCCCCAUCUACCUAGCUGGUGAUGCCACCAGAGAAGGCUACGGGGUUUGUCAAACAUGAUUUUCCCUAGGUGAAUCCAUGCUGAAAAUGAACUUCAGAAGUUCCUGAUUAACUUCUUCUCUUCCAAUUGCUUGGAGAUGACAUCUAGAACAAGCUGUUCCAUCACCUUUCAAGGAACAGAGGUGAGACUGACUGGCCUUGAGUUUCCUGAAUUCUCCUUCUUUCCCUUUUUGAAACUGGAGUGACACUAGUUAUCCUCCAGUCUUCAUGCACCUCUUCUGUUCUCCAAGACCUGACAAAGAUGAUAGUGAUUCAACAUUCACCUCUGCCAGCUCCCUCAGCAUGUGUGGAUGCAUCCCAUCAGGGCCCAUUUGUGCACAUUGACCCCACCUAAGCUCUCCUGAACCACCCCCUCUUCAACCAGAGGGAAGCUCUCAAUUUCCCAGUCUUCCCUUCAGGCAUCCUGAGGGUGAAUCUUUGAAGUGAAGACCAAAGCAAAGGAGGCAUUCAGCAUCUACACCUUCUCAGCAUCCCCCAUUACCUGGCCACCUCCCUCGUUCAGCAGGGGACCCACAUUAUCACUAGUCUUCCUUUUACUAUUAACAUACAUUUUAAAACCCCUUCUUAUUAUCCUUACUCCUCCCGCUUCAGCUCCAGGUGAGCUUUAGCCUUCCUCUUCACUUCCCUGCAUGUCCUGACAACACUCCCUAUGCUCCUCCCAAUAGGGCAAGAACUUUUGCUGCAUUUCAUAAACCUUCUUUUUCCCACCUACUCCCAGAUGGAGCUCAUUACAUUCUAGUUUGUCUCUCGCAUAGAGGGGCAGCUCCUCCACCUUGCUUCCUCAGCCUGACUUUCCAAAAAAGAACAUAAUCCUCCAUAGACAGCACUCCAGUCACAUGAGCUUUCCCACCAGGUAUCUGUGCUUGCAGUGAGAAGCUAUCCUAUUAAUUUCCUGUGCUGCAUGCAAUGGUAUGCAGGCACUUAAGGGAAGCAGCAGGUGUAAGUAUCCCAUUGUUUUGCCCUGCAACCAUUUUGAAAAUAAGAUUUGUCCUAUUUGUGCUCCAGACUUAAAUUAAUACUACAUAUAGUUUGAGUACCUAUAUGUAAUUGUUAUUUUACACACUGUCUUGAAAACGAUUCUUAUUUUUCAUUGUAAAUUAUUUGUGGAGAGGACAUGGUAUGCAUUUAUGAAAUUAAUCUCCAUAAUUAACAAAGCCUUCUUCUAUUGUCUACUAAAUUUUCCUGAACUCUUCUUCACAUGCUUGAGCAGAGGUUAAAAGAGUCAAGGUCAGCUGAGAAUCUUCUGACAAAAUAUCUCUGCGCAUGAAAAAGUAUGUACAUGUAGGAUAGGAAUUUCAACCAAAAGAGCAAAGUCAAUUUAUUUUAUUUUAUUUUAUUUUAUUUUAUUUUUUACACACUGUAGUAAAUUAGUUUUAGCACAGGGCAAGUCUUUGCACUGAUGGGAACUAUGUAAACAUUCAGAGAGAUUCAUUAUCAUUGUUUUAAGCAUUUCCAUCCACUCAUGAAUCUUGUUACAGAAGCAAGAAAGAAAGAAAGAAGUAAAGGUACUGUUUUGUGCUGAGCUUACCUGACACUUCUGCUGUGACAUGGUGCCUGUCAUACUUUGAAUAUAUUUUCCAGCUGUUUCAAAUUUUUGUCUCUUUACACUUAGGAGAGGGGAAAUCACACUAUCAGACUUACCAGCUGUUCUUGGUGUUAUCUGGACUGGUUUUAAUGCCCAGGAGGGAAUACUGUUCCUUCAUGAAUUAUGAAACUCUCAUACGUUCAUGGUACUGUGGUGAGCUUGGGUGAAAUCUGCCAGGUGGCUCUUCUGUUCUUGCCUUGGAAAUGUGGUUAUCUUUCAAAGAACCCAUCACUGACUAAAUGUAUUUAGACUUCAGUAAAUAAAACCACAGAGCCUUAUUGUUGGGAUCAUCCUUACAAAUGUUUCUUGGUCUCUCACAAUCCAUAAACUUAUGUACUGUGAAAUGUUUGCCUACGAAUGAUCUCAGUGCAGGUUUCCCUUUGUAACACUUUGAAGGUGGGUUCUCAUUUCAUCUCAUGCACGUGAAUAUCUACCUGCAUACAGGAGUGUGUGAAUAGCAAAGCCCUAGGGAGAAUUAAAUGACAUUUAUCCUGUACUUCCAAUUGAUUUACUUCUGAUGUGCCCAUUAAUUUAUUGCAAGAGAUUCCUAUGAGACUUUUUGAAACUACAUAUGAAUGUAAAGAUUCCUUACAAAUGUGAGACAAUGUAACAUUUACAUUCAAACGGAUGGCUGAGGAUGAGGGGAAAAAAAAAAAAGUGGCAGCAAAGAGGGUUAUAUCUUGAUUUUUCCAUAGAGAUGUUUUCAGGCACUGAGAACGUGCCUGUGCAUUUGUGCAGUCAGAAAAGAAAUAAGCAAUAUAAGCUUUUCCAGGAUAAAAAAAAAAAAAAAAAAGAUUUAAUUGUAAAUAUUUGGCAUUAGAACACCAAUCCAGAACAAGAAGAAAGCCUAAGGCGCUCUGUAGGAGCUGGUUAGGGCAAGUGCCAUGAAAAGCCUUCGAUAAAUGGCUUUAUUGUAUUGCCCUCUACCGAAACUACCGAAGAUUGCAGACUGAUACUUAACGCGAAGGAAAAAAAGCUCGGGCAGGAGAGCCGUGAGAUGGGUACAAACACGUUGUUUCACACUGCUCAGCAGAGUCUCAGAUUCGAAUACUUCUGGAUUUGGAAUCCAAAGAGGGGCUCGGGUUUUGUUCUGUCUCACUGAAGGGAUAUUCAUUUCUUUAGAGAAGAAUCUGUGUAGGCAGGACAGAGAUCCGAAGUUAUAAACUUGCCAAGAAAAUGGGUAUUAUAUCCUUGAACUUAUAGGAAAAGAAAAAAAGAAAGCUUUCUGAGUUACAGAGGCAGAUGGGUUCAGAGCUGAUGAGAGAACUGUUGCAUGAAACUGUGAGGAAAAGAUCUCUCUGGGUCCUGUGCCUCAGAUUAUUAUUAUUUUAUUAUUAUUAUUAUGUUUGCAUGCUGAAAGAAAGUUUUGCGUGAAGCUAUGAAAGUAUUUAAUUACUGUAUAGGUGAAUUAGCCAAUUUUACACACUGGAAUAAUCCCUUAAAAGAAAACCUUCUUUCCAUACAAGGAAUUUGAGAAGGUGAAUUACUCGUGGCAGCAAGCUGAAGAUCUGACUUGUUUUGUGUAAAAGAUGAAAGAUCAGGCCAUGACUCUUGGCUCUCUAAGAUGCACUGGCUGUAGUUUCAUUCCACCAAGUUAAUUCACGGGUUCUGUGCUCUUGUUCAGCGUUAGCAAGGUCACCCAAGCUUUUGAAUGGAAAAGAAAAAAAUGUAUCAGAAUGACAGUUUUAAAGAACCAAGAUAAUAGAGUUCUGUGUUUGUUGGAUUUCUCACAAAUAAGGCAGCAGAACAUCUCUAAGUAAAAAGACACAUUUAGGUGUUCCUUCUUCCAAAGGCUAACUCACAGCCCUACAGCACUGCCCACAGUUUGUUGUGACAUCCUUGCUGGAACCGAGAAUUUAUGAGCGUCGUUUUGGUUGUCUUGUCUCAAAGUGUUGAACUCUGCUUUUCGUGACUUUGAAUGAGCAGGGUAAAAGUUAGGAGGACUCACCUGUAUUUUUAAGGAAGCCUUACUGAUAUUGUUUUUACCUUAGCAUUUCAUAAAGCACAUUUUGAUUGCUGAAAUAGCUGUGGUACCACUGACAAUAAAAGCAUAUUAGCAUGCUGCAUCUCCUUAUGCAGCGUGUCAAAGUUGGAGAUGUGUUGUGAAAGUCCUUCAAAUACCUCUGUUGUGAGGAUGAUGUAAAAAGGCUCAUUUACAGAAUUUACUCUAGUGAAUUGCUCAUAGAAACAGAGAGGGUUCCUGCGAAACGGUGAUUUGAGGCCAAAAAGUACUAUCCUAAGUGUGCCUCAUUACAUAGCUGGAGGUUUUCAUAGGUGUCUUGUAUUUAUUGUAUAAGCAUCUUGUAUGUAUUGUAUCACCUCUUGGAGUGGGGAAAUGGAGGGAUCUGUUCUGUCUCGGUUUCUCGAGUAAGCAAUGAGACUUCGCUGGAGGUAAACUGACGUCUGAAGGAAUAGCGACCUCAGCAGACCGACAGGUGACGUUACUUCAAUUUUAGGUCCUCUUCUUUUUGUGAAAUAAAGGUAAAGGAAAUUGUUUUAUGUUAAACGUUCCAUUUCACAUUGAGUGAGACUGAGGGAAAAAAAAAGUAAGUAUUUAGCAAAUAAAGUCCACAUACUUGAUGAUACACAUGAAAAGUGUUUUCCUUCUGUCUUUUUUUGACACUGUUGCCAUGAGAGUGAAACUCUGAAAAUCUUGUUUUCUCUGAAGAAGGAAUUUUCUGCUGAGGACUGACAAAGCAAUAGAACAGUACUCAGCCCAUCACUUUGUUUUUGUGAUUACUCUUUAUUGUGAAAAAUGAUCACAAUGAUACGUAGUGCAGUUCACCUCUCUUCUGCUUUGUCUUAUAGUGAUACGUACAUAUAGAACACAUCUAAAUUUGCCUUUAAAAAUAAAUAAAUACAUAACGAAAGCAAUGGCUUAAAAUGUCUUGAGUGAAACAUUCCAUAACAUACCUAUGCCUCUGGUGAUUUCCAGCAUCAAAGGUCACCCUUUCUUCUGAUCGCUUAGCAGCCUUUACAUUAAUUUCCUGCUUUAUGCAUUGUAAUAAAUUUUUUGCUUAUGUGGUUAGAUACUAAGAAUGAAGUUCACAACAGACUGGAUUUUGUAAAAUGGAUGUUGUUUCUUUUUUUUUUUUUUUUUAAACAAAGUUGUUUUUCAGAACCAUCCACUGCUUGUGUUUUUAGAAAAGUAGAAAUUGCAAAAUUUAUCACGUGCCAAAGAAGAGCAUUUGUUCAACUGUGCUCUUAAGUUGUGUAGUAAUGAAUAAACAGUAAAAUACAUGACUCUGAUUAGGAAUAAAACCAAAGCAACUGAUCUUUGCAAUGUUUUUUUGGACACUGAAUGCUGCUAAGAAGAGAAAAUGUGAAAAACAAAAGAAUGAUGAUAUAAGAUGCUGAAGAGAAUAGACAUACAGUCUAUGGUAAUUAGUGUAUAUUUUAGACAUGCUGCCAGGUGGAUGAGACAAAGGUGUGUGUUUGUCAGUGUUAUCGCUCUUGGGUUUUGAUUACUCCAGCAAUUUUAAGUGGCUGUAUUAGUAGGGAUGCAGAAAUUUCACGAUAGUUCGCACCAUCUAAUAGAUGUUUUCUAGUCACAACUCAGAGGAAAACGUUGUCUUCCUCAUAUGCUUGACAAUAACCUUUCUUCCUUGAAGUUCUGUGUACUCUGUCCCACAGUUCAUGCUGUACCUGAGCUUAACUCCGAAUUCCUUGAAUUCAAUAAUAAACUUUUCAUACAGUUGAAAGAUAUUUGACUGAUAAUCUGUUUCCAGGAUCUUAUCAGUUUAUUGUUAUUUUUUUGUGAGGGGAGUAAGUUACAUUGUUACUUGUAAUACGUGUGCAAUUACUGUAUGAAUUGUGCAAAUUUAAAUAAAGAUAUUUUGGUAACGUUUUCUGCCAAGAAGCAGUUCCUGAAUUUCACCUGGGUAAACAGGUACGAAAUAAAGUUCAGCAAUUUUUUCUCUCAUGAAAACACUGUGAGUGUAGAUUAUACAUGACUUCAGAGAUGUUCAAAAAGCCAGUAGAAUCUUGGUCCUCUAGUGUGAGGUUUGGACAGCAAACUUUAGACUUAGACUAUAGAUUAUUGGAAAUAUUUCCUCACAAGAAACCGUUGCUGAAAAAUGUUCUACUGAAACUAUUUUGCUCCUUUCUCUUCUUCUUUAUUUUCAGUUUGUAAAAAAUGAAUGUUUUCAGACAACUUUAACUGGUAACUUUUCCUUCAUUUAAUGCACAACUUUGCACCUAAUGAAGAAAACGAGAGACCCUCAAAAUCAACCUUCUUCAGGCAGUCAUUCAGGUCUGUUUUGCUGGUAUUCCAGACAAGAAACCUACGUGCUAGGGACAUGGCUGACCUGAAGGAACACAUUAGUGAUGUUUUUGAGGGAUCCUGAGUCUCCCCCAAGGGGAAACACUGCUUCAUCUCAGCGUUUUCCAAACUGGUGACAGAACCAUUUACUGUUCUUCCAAUGAGAUGCUGAAAAGGAGAGAGAAAAAAAAAAGAAAGCAUAAAACACUAGUAGAACUGCUUUCUCUAAUUCACUUCUACAUUUGUGUUGUUUUUUCUUUUUUGGUUAUAAAGUGAUCUGUCAUUAAAAAGCCUUUUCAUCCACUCCACCCCCAACAAGAAAAUGUUUCCUGAAGGCAGCAGAAGAAACUGCACCCAGCUGCCCUUUUGUUCACCAUAAUAUCAGGGCUUCUGCUUGUUAAGCAGCCACCUAUGUACUGAUUGAUGUAAAAGCCUGGAAGCACUUUGCGUUGGAGAGCUGCAUGGGGACAUAUAUCCUACAGCACCUGAGUGUUCAGAUGACUUCUGCAUUUCCCAGGCACAAAAUCCAGAGCAAUGAGCCAGCAUCAAAUAGAUUUUUAGAGAGAUUCCUGUUGGGAAAUUUUCAAGUUUAGCAUUGAAAGAUGGCAAGUGCAGAUGUACUUGAAUACAAAACAGCC